CAGUCGCCACGGUAAUACGUAGGUGGCAAGCGUUGUCCGGAGUUAUUGGGCGUAAAGGGCUCGCAGGCGGUUUCUUAAGUCUGAUGUGAAAGCCCCCGGCUCAACCGGGGAGGGUCAUUGGAAACUGGGAAACUUGAGUGCAGAAGAGGAGAGUGGAAUUCCACGUGUAGCGGUGAAAUGCGUAGAGAUGUGGAGGAACACCAGUGGCGAAGGCGACUCUCUGGUCUGUAACUGACGCUGAGGAGCGAAAGCGUGGGGAGCGAACAGGAUUAGAUACCCCUGUAGUCCCUGUCUCUUAUAC
rnacentral:rRNA from 1 species